rnacentral:rRNA from 1 species
GUUGAACGCUGGCGGCAUGCCUUACACAUGCAAGUCGAACGGUAACAGGUCUUCGGAUGCUGACGAGUGGCGAACGGGUGAGUAAUACAUCGGAACGUGCCUAGUAGGGGGGGAUAACUACUCGAAAGAGUGGCUAAUACCGCAUGAGAUCUACGGAUGAAAGCAGGGGAUCGCAAGACCUUGCGCUACUAGAGCGGCCGAUGGCAGAUUAGGUAGUGGGUGGGAUAAAAGCUUACCAAGCCGACGAUCGGUAGCUGGUCUGAGAGGACGAUCAGCCACACUGGGACUGAGACACGGCCCAGACUCCUACGGGAGGCAGCAGUGGGGAAUUUUGGACAAUGGGCGAAAGCCUGAUCCAGCAAUGCCGCGUGCAGGAUGAAGGCCUUCGGGUUGUAAACUGCUUUUGUACGGAACGAAAAGCCCCGGGUUAAUACCCUGGGGUCAUGACGGUACCGUAAGAAUAAGCACCGGCUAACUACGUGCCAGCCGCCGCCGUAA